rnacentral:rRNA from 1 species
GACGUAGGGCGCGAGCGUUGUCCGGAUUUAUUGGGCGUAAAGAGCUCGUAGGCGGCUUGUCGCGUCGUUCGUGAAAACCCGCGGCUCAACUGUGGGCGGGCAGCUGAUACGGGCAGGCUGGAGUUCGGUAGGGGAGACUGGAAUUCCUGGUGUAGCGGUGAAAUGCGCAGAUAUCAGGAGGAACACCAAUGGCGAAAGCAGCUUUCUGGGACGGUACUGACGCUGAGACGCGAAAGCGUGGGGAGCGAACAGG